rnacentral:rRNA from 1 species
GGGAACCUCACCAGCCCCAUACAUAGGGAGGAUUGACAGCUUGAUAGUUCUUUCUUGAUUCUAUGGUUGGUGGUGCAUGGCCGUUCUUAGUUGGUGGAGCGAUCUGUCUGGUUAAUUCCGUUAACGAACGAGAUCUUAACCUGCUAAAUAGGUAUCCGUUGUGAUUAUCUUCUUAGAGGGACACUUUAUCGUCUAGAUAAAGGAAGCUUGAGGUAAUAA